AAAAACACACACAAGCAUAGCACAAUCAAGAAAGACUUGUGAUUGAAUAAUGCAAUUUACAUGUGUGAGCGUUCGAGGAAAGAAUUUUUCGUGUGCUUCCCGUGUAAACACCAUUCCAUAAAAUUAACAAUAUUUCAGGGCAAUAGUGAUGCCUAGCUACUGCAAUGAAGUCCCUUUGAAAGAAUUCUUGAAGUCCUGCAAUAGGUUCGUUGCUUGGACUAAAAGAAAAGUGUAACUCCGCAACUACUCAUUCAGUUACCGUGUUUCUCUAUAAACCUAAUUAACACGCUUUCCUCUUGUCAACUUUUAAGGGAAUGUUGAACCAUUUCUUCUUCUUUGUCCGGUCUCUUAAAGGCUUCUUUUCUUUUACUGAGCCAUCUUCACUGGCUGCCUUGGAUCCACUUUUGUUCUUACUUCGAUUGCUGCUGCUACUACUACGUUUCAUCACGGGAAGAGUUGUAUAGGAAGCAUGAAUUUCAUUGCGGUGCUUAAGAAGCUCAUCAAUAGCUUGCAUUUCUUGAGCAUAUCUACUUGUCAUCUCAGUAAAUUGUGUUAAGACCUCCCUAUAUUCUGUUUCAAACUUAGACAGUUCUACUCUUUUUGACAAAAUCUGAGCUUCUACUGCUCUAAGAUUCUCUUUUUCCUCAGUAAAAGGUUCAGCGCAGACCACUUCAAUGGUGUAGCUCACACUUUUAAAAAAAUUGUCACCAUAAAUUGCAAAAACAUGUGUGCCAGCUUUGAGCUCAGUUAUCUCGCAUGGUUGAAAUCCAUCCAGUUUCUUGAAAAAUGCAGAGUCCGGAUCCUUUGUGGCUGCUGCCGAUGUCUGGGUUUGAUCCAUGUGAUAUACUGGGAAACCAAGAAAAUACAUGCCAGCAGAUGUGACUUUCCCUGUUUUUGAACUAUCUUCCUGUAAUGCAAGGCUUAGUCCACCAUUUUCUUCUUGGUCAAAGUACAAUAGCUUAAAUUUGCUUUUUUCUCGUGAAUGAACUCGGCAAACAAGGCCCCCUUUCGCUUCCUUUUCUGUUAUUGUAACAGAGUAGAAGUGAGCAGACUGUUUCUCUACCUUCUUACACAAAGGUUGUCCAAGUGGAAGUGGUUGAAUAGAUACUGAACCAUUUAAUGCCUCCUCUAGAACAGUUGCAGAGACAGUGGUUUUUAUUGGUACACCAAGCUUACUAAAGAGUGCAGCAAACAUAGUAUUCACGGUUCCCAAACUUGACAGAUCAAGCUCUAAAUCUUGGCUUUCUGACUCAACAGCCUCAAAGCCAGCUGAGUCAUAUUGACGCCUUUUAUCUUGAUCAGAUAAAAUGUUGUAUGAAAAGGUGACCUCCUUGAACAUGUCUGCUGCUUUAGGGUCAUUUGCAUUCUUGUCAGGAUGAUACUUCAAAGCUAAUUUCCUGUAAGCACUUUUGAUUUCUUGAUCUGAAGAAUUCCUGGAAACACCUAAAACCUCAUAAGGAUCUCUCCUUAAAGGCUUUUCUGCCUCACCCUUCUCUGAUUUAGACUUAUGCCCAGGCAUUCUUCUUCUUCUUAGCACACACUUCAAGGUCACAACUUUAGAUUUUAUUUUUUUUCAAAAAUUUCAAAAAACACUAACGUUAUUUCAUAAAGAUCGAAACUUUAACCUUAAAAACUGUUAAUUUUCUCAUACCCAAAUCAAAUUUUCCAAGAAGUUUUUCUGGGAAAAUUUUGGGGUAUUCG
rnacentral:misc_RNA from 1 species